rnacentral:rRNA from 1 species
GACGUAGGGGGCAAGCGUUAUUCGGAAUUAUUGGGCGUAAAGCGCUCGUAGGUGGGCCUGUAAGUCAGUGGUGAAAUCUUCAAGCUUAACUUGGAAACUGCCAUUGAUACUAUAGGUCUUGAAUUAUCUGGAGGUAAGCGGAAUAUGUCAUGUAGCGGUGAAAUGCUUAGAGAUGACAUAGAACACCCAUUGCGAAGGCAGCUUACUACGGAUUGAUUGACACUGAGGCACGAAAGCGUGGGGAUCAAACAGG